UCUUUCAAGUUCUUUAACUUUUUCCUGAUGAAGGAUCAAUAUUUUAGAUAGCAAUGUAUGAGCUAGUCCUUCCAUAAUCAAUGUGUCAUUUUACUAUUUUCUAAAAUAUGGGUGCUUAUAGUACCAUUAAUAACUCUAGUUGGCUUUUCUCAUGAACAAUGUGAUAACCAAGCAGAUUUUCUGAUGGAUUUGGCCCUUCAAAACAUUCCUGGCGGUAACAAGAUUUGCUAGAAGUUUCCCCUGGUAACAUUAUCCAUCUGCCUUGGUUGGGCCUGGACACCUUUUCCUUCAGACACGUGGUAUCUGUUAAAUUACCCUGCUUAACAAGGUGACCCCGUGGCGCCUCCAGAUUCUUCAGUAAGAUGCUCUGAUGUCCACUGGGGUGUUGCAGGGCUGCUUCAGGCAUGUUCUCAGAGUCAACCAAAUGGAAAUGUUUAACAUGAUAGCAGUUCCCAUUGAAGUUAAUUAGCAUGUCGAAUUUUAAGCAUAGUAUGGAUAUGGAAAUAUAAAAUCCAGAAUCACAAAACGUUCAGCUUGUUCCACGAUUGAAACAGACCUGGUCCACUCAUGUCUACCGUUGCGGACAAGCAAUAUCUGGCAGAACUGAAGGAGUGCAUUCUCUUUGGACAUGGACCUGUGUAUGGAGAGUCUUUUUGGUAAAUCAUGGUAUCCUUUUCAAUUUCUGAAUAGCAUGUACAGCAUCCAUGUGAUAAGUUCUUAUUAUCUCGUUUUCUAGAAUAUAGUAUGUUAGCAGCUCAUACCUUGAAGCCAUGACUAAUCUUGUAGCUUGGUUCAUCAGAACCAGCUGUUGAAGGCCCAAGAGGGUGUCGUCACUAGUUACGUAUUGCACCUUGACCUGCCAUGGGGCAAUGAAAAAAAAAGGCGUAAUAAAUGAAUUCUUGCUUAAGAGGCAGAUACGUUUGUUUA